GCGGCUAUGAUGGGAAUUGGCAUACCUGGUGAACUUAAAAUUCACUGAUUCUCAGUUCGAAUCUGAGUGGCCGUACCA
rnacentral:tRNA from 1 species